rnacentral:rRNA from 1 species
AAUCAACGCUGGCGGCGUGCCUCAGACAUGCAAGUCGAACGAGAACCUCCCUUCGGGGAGGAGACAGUGGCGCACGGGUGAGUAACACGUGGGUAAUUUACCUUUGGGUGGGGAACAACAGCCGGAAACGGCUGCUAAUACCGCAUAAUGCAGCGGCUCGACAUCGAGACAGUUGUUAAAGCGGGGGAUCGCAAGACCUCGCGCCUGAAGAGAAGCCUGCGGCGGAUUAGCUAGUUGGUAGGGUAAUGGCCUACCAAGGCGACGAUCUGUAACCGGCCUGAGAGGGCGGUCGGUCACACUGACACUGACAUACGGGUCAGACUCCUACGGGAGGCAGCAGUCGGGAAUUUUGGGCAAUGGGCGAAAGCCCGACCCAGCAACGCCGCGUGAAGGAUGAGGC